rnacentral:rRNA from 1 species
AUUGAACGCUGGCGGCAUGCCUUACACAUGCAAGUCGAACGGCAGCACGGACUUCGGUCUGGUGGCGAGUGGCGAACGGGUGAGUAAUAUAUCGGAACGUACCUUUCAGUGGGGGAUAACGUAGCGAAAGUUACGCUAAUACCGCAUAUUCUGUGAGCAGGAAAGCAGGGGAUCGCAAGACCUUGCGCUGAUUGAGCGGCCGAUAUCAGAUUAGCUAGUUGGUGAGGUAAAGGCUCACCAAGGCGACGAUCUGUAGCGGGUCUGAGAGGAUGAUCCGCCACACUGGAACUGAGACACGGUCCAGACUCCUACGGGAGGCAGCAGUGGGGAAUUUUGGACAAUGGGGGCAACCCUGAUCCAGCCAUGCCGCGUGAGUGAAGAAGGCCUUCGGGUUGUAAAGCUCUUUCGGCCGGGAAGAAAUCGUGUGGGCUAAUACCCCAUAUGGAUGACGGCACCGGAAUAAGAAGCACCGGCUAACUACGUGCCAGCCGCCGCAGUAAAAC